rnacentral:misc_RNA from 1 species
CCCCUCCAAAACCUGAAUGUCUUCUUUGGGGGGGUCCAAAGUCUGGCAAGCCCAUGGGGGGACCACCUUCAAUAAGUCCCUGAGGACCCCAAGGUUUUCUUUCGGAUAUAUGGGGGGGCAAGCCUGAUCUAUGAAUAUUGUGCAUGAAAGGAGAAUGAUCAUCAUGAGGACGGAAACCAUGUGGAGGUGGACCGCCCAUGCCAUCAAAAUUAUGAAAUGCAUGGAAUGGAGGGGAGAGCUCCCUUCUUCCCACAUAUGGAGGAAAUGGAGGCACUUGAUCCAUGAAGGCAGGAUUGGAGGGAUGGUCUAUAGAUGGAAAUACAUCACGAAAGAAAUGAUUGCG